UACGGGGGGAGCAAGCGUUGUUCGGAUUUACUGGGCGUAAAGGGCGCGUAGGCGGUCAGCACAAGUCAGUUGUGAAAUCUCCGGGCUUAACUCGGAAAGGUCAACUGAUACUGUGCGACUAGAGUGCAGAAGGGGCAACUGGAAUUCUCGGUGUAGCGGUGAAAUGCGUAGAUAUCGGGAGGAACACCUAUGGCGAAGGCAGCUCGCUGGGACGGUACUGACGCUGAGACGCGAAAGCGUGGGGAGCAAACAGG
rnacentral:rRNA from 1 species